UACGGGAGGCAGCAGUGGGGAAUAUUGCACAAUGGGCGCAAGCCUGAUGCAGCCAUGCCGCGUGUAUGAAGAAGGCCUUCGGGUUGUAAAGUACUUUCAGUCGUGAGGAAGGUGUUAAGGUUAAUAACCUUAGCAAUUGACGUUAGCGACAGAAGAAGCACCGGCUAACUCCGUGCCAGCAGCCGCGGUAAUACGGAGGGUGCGAGCGUUAAUCGGAAUUACUGGGCGUAAAGGGCACGCAGGCGGUUAAUAAGUUGGAUGUGAAAUCCCCGGGCUUAACCUGGGAAUGGCAUUCAAGACUGGUUAGCUAGAGUCUUGUAGAGGGGGUAGAAUUCCAUGUGUAGCGGUGAAAUGCGUAGAGAUGUGGAGGAAUACCGGUGGCGAAGGCGGCCCCUGGACAAAGACUGACGCUCAUGUGCGAAAGCGUGGGGAGCAAAC
rnacentral:rRNA from 1 species